rnacentral:rRNA from 1 species
UAGUCCACGCUGUAAACGAUGAGAACUAGACGUUGGGUGGAUUACCGCUCAGUGUCGUAGCUAACGUAUUAAGUUCUCCGCCUGGGGAGUACGACCGCAAGGUUGAAACUCAAAGGAAUUGACGGGGGCCCGCACAAGCGGUGGAGCAUGUGGUUUAAUUCGAUGCAACGCGAAGAACCUUACCUGCCCUUGACAUCCUGGGAAGGUCUUAGAGAUGAGACUGUGCCUUUCGGGGACGCAGUGACAGGUGCUGCAUGGCUGUCGUCAGCUCGUGUCGUGAGAUGUUCGGUUAAGUCCGGCAACGAGCGCAACCCACAUCUUUAGUUGCCAGCAGUUCGGCUGGGCACUCUAAAGAAACUGCCCGUGAUAAGCGGGAGGAAGGUGUGGAUGACGUCAAGGUCCUCAUGGGCCCUUACGGGGUUGGGGCUACACACGUGCUACAAUGGGCAGUGACAAUGGGGUUAAUCCCCAAAAACUGUCUCAGUUCGGGAUUGGGGGUCUGGCAACUCGACCCCAU